rnacentral:rRNA from 1 species
UGAGUAACGCGUAGGAACGUGUCCAGAGGUGGGGGACAACCCCGGGAAACUGGGGCUAAUACCGCAUAUGGGCUGAGGCCCAAAGCCGAGAGGCGCCUUAGGAGCGGCCUGCGUCCGAUUAGGUAGUUGGUGGGGUAAAGGCCUACCAAGCCUGCGAUCGGUAGCUGGUCUGAGAGGACGACCAGCCACACUGGGACUGAGACACGGCCCAGACUCCUACGGGAGGCAGCAGUGGGGAAUAUUGGACAAUGGGCGAAAGCCUGAUCCAGCAAUGCCGCGUGGGUGAAGAAGGUCUUCGGAUCGUAAAGCCCUUUCGACGGGGACGAUGAUGACGGUACCCGUAGAAGAAGCCCCGGCUAACUUCGUGCCAGCAGCCGCGGUAAUACGAAGGGGGCUAGCGUUGCUCGGAAUUACUGGGCGUAAAGGGCGCGUAGGCGGCGGCCCAAGUCAGGCGUGAAAUUCCUGGGCUCAACCUGGGGACUGCGCUUGAUACUGGGUUGCUUGAGGAUGAAAGAGGCUCGUGUAAUUCCCAGUGUAGAGGUGAAAUUCGUAGAUAUUGAAAAGAACAGCGGUGGCAAAGGCGACGAGCUGGUCCAUUACUGACGCUGAGGCGCGACAGCGGGGGGGAGCAAACAGGAUUAUAUACCCUGGUAGUCCACGCCCGUAUACGAUGCUGCGCU